UGAGGAAUCUUCCGCAAUGGGCGAAAGCCUGACGGAGCAACGCCGCGUGAAUGAAGAAGGCCUUCGGGUCGUAAAGUUCUGUCUUUUAGGAAGGAGGCCCAAGAUGCAAAUAGUGUUUUGGGAUGACAGUACUAGAGGAGGAAGCUCCGGCUAACUCCGUGCCAGCAGCCGCGGUAAUACGGGGGGAGCAAGCGUUGUUCGGAUUUACUGGGCGUAAAGGGCGUCUAGGCGGAGUAAUAAGUCAGAUGUGAAAUCCCCCGGCUCAACCGAGGUGUUGCAUUUGAUACUAUUACCCUUGAGUACGAGAGAGGAAAGCGGAAUUCCAGGUGUAGCGGUGAAAUGCGUAGAUAUCUGGAAGAACACCAGUGGCGAAGGCGGCUUUCUGGCUCGUUACUGACGCCGAAGCGCGAAAGUGUGGGGAGCAAACA
rnacentral:rRNA from 1 species